AUGCUCCAAAUUCUUCAAGCCAGGCUUCAGCAAUACAUGAACCGUGAACUCCCUGAUGUUCAAGCUGGUUUUAGAAAAGGCAGAGGCACCAGAGAUCAAAUUGCCAACAUCCACUGGAUCAUUGAAAAAGCAAGAGAGUUCCAGAAAAAGAUCUAUUUCUACUUUAUUGACUAUGCCAAAGCCUUUGACUGUGUGGAUCCCAAUAAACUGUGGAAUAUUCUGAAAGAGAUGGGAAUACUAGACCACCUGGCCUGCCUCUUGAGAAACCUAUAUGCAGGUCAGGAAGCAACAGUUAGAACUGAACAGGGAACAACAGACUGGUUCCAAAUAGGAAAAGGAGUACGUCAAGGCUGUAUAUUGUCACCCUGCUUAUUUAACUUCUAUGCAGAGUACAUCAUGAGAAAUGCUGGCCUGGAUGAAGCACAAGCUGGAAUCAAGAUUUCUGGAAGAAAUAUCAAUAACCUCAGAUAUGCAGAUGAUACCACCCUUGUGGCAGAAAGUGAAGAGGAACUAAAAAGCCUCUUGAUAAAAGUGAAAGAGGAGAGUGAAGAAGUUGGCUUAAAGCUCAACAUUCAGAAAACUAAGAUCAUGGCAUCUGGUCCCAUCACUUCAUGGGAAAUAGAUGGGGAAACAGUGGAAACAGUGUCAGACUUUAUUUUUGGGGGCUCCAAAAUCACUGCAGAUGGUGACUGCAACCAUGAAAUUAAAAGACACUUACUCCUUGGUAGGAAAGUUAUGACCAACCUAGAUAGCACAUUCAAAAGCAGAGACAUUACUUUGCCAACAAAAGUCCAUCUAGUCAAGGCUAUGGUUUUUCCAGUGGUCGUGUAUGGACCUGAGAGUUGGACUGUGAAGAAAGCUGAGCGCCGAACAAUUGAUGCUUUUGAACUGUGGUGUUGGAGAAGACUCUUGAGAGUCCCUUGGACUGCAAGGAGAUCCAACCAGUCCAUUCUAAAGGAGCUUGGUCCUGGGUGUUCUUUGGAAGCAAUGAUGCUGAAGCUGAAACUCCGGUACUUUGGCCACUUCAUGCGAAGAGUUGACUCAUUGGAAAAGACCCUGAUGAUGGGAGGGAUUGGGGGCAGGAGGAGAAGGGGACGACAGAGGAUGAGAUGGCUGGAUGGCAUCACGGACUUGAUGGAUGUGAGUCUGAGUGAACUCCGGGAGAUGGUGAUGGACAGGGAGGCCUGGCGUGCUGCGAUUCAUGGGGUCGCAAAGAGUCAGACACGACUGAGUGACUGA
rnacentral:lncRNA from 1 species